ensembl:lncRNA
AUAGUGUUGUGCUCUUUGUAUCUGUCAUGGUUCACAUGGAAAUAAACAGGAGGCAUUACUUUCCGAGCAACAUACGUAAGUAGAAGAACAGAAAAUAUGCAUAGAUACAGAAGAUAUAUUUAAAUAGCUUCAGCAACUCUUCAGUAACUCAGUUUCGUAUUUUCUGCCCUGCUUUCCCCAGCUGCAAAACUUUUCACCACAGUAGCUCUCAAACAGUUCUUUCUAAACAAGGAACAAACGUCCUUGAAACAGGGAAUUUUCUUCAAUCCACGCAGAGCAGCUAUGUUACCUCAUGAAUAUUAAUGAGCAUUAAGCUGUGCCACAAAUAUAAUUUUCAGGCAAAAAGUCUUCUGCACGUAGGUGCAGUCCCUGGCAAAGUUCACAACACAGCAUUCUCUCUGCUGGUUGCAGGUCCUCAGUGCCACGCAGAUUUCCUCUUCAGAUGCAGCAGAGGCAACUGGGAAUGCUGAUCUCCCAGAACAUAAAACAUCAUUAGAGAAAGCUAAAAGCAAACAAAAACAACGCAAGGCAUCAAGCAAGAAAGAAAAAAAGGUUAUUUAAUUUGCAUGGGAGUUUUCUACCUCUUCUGAACAGGUCCACCCAUCUCUAUAUUUUUCCUCUUUAAAUGUUAAAGCAUCUGAACAUUUGUUCUGUCAGUUGAGAAAAAAAUGGACUGACUUAAACCCAUCUUAGAUCCCCGGGGGAUAUCACAGGAAAAUAGGACAGCAGUGCUCAGAGGAAAAACUCCAUCUACUGCAUCUUUUACAAUUAAAACUUACCAACAGUGACGCAGGGGAAAGAGGUGAGAACGGCUUUUAUGCUGCAAUUCAAAGUUCCAUAUCGUAUCCAACCACCAAUACACAAAGAGUGCAAAUGAAAAUUACUCAUGUCAGUGGCUGACAGUUGCACUGUCUGAGGAGCACCCUUCUGUAGCUCUAUUCAUACUGACAUGUAAUUAAAGCAUACCGUGUCCAGAAAUUUCAAGUGAAAAGCCUUGAAGUAUGAUCAAAUUGAGCUCUGUGUAUGUCUUUGUCAUGUCUGAAAUGCAAGAGGUACUUAAGGAUGCUUCAGGUAUUUUACAAAUACAGAUGGAUUUAACAGGAAACCAUAAAAGUAAAUCCCCUUUAUAAUUCAUACAUUAUGAAUUUAACUGCAAUGCCUAGAAUUUUGACUAGUUAAGUCCUACCAAAGCUUCAUCUAUCAACGUAUGUUUUCUGAUUCCAAAUUUUUAGGCUUCUUCCAUUAACAAAAGAGAAUGAUGAUGACCUUCAGGAGCUUUGGCUGAGUAAGAACUAAGAAAUCUGGGACGAAGGAGCUGCUCCAAACUAUAAGCUCCUCCCUGAAAAACAUGGUGAAUUGUGACAAGAUAUUAAGAAACUUUUUCUGUAACAUUUUACCCUUCCAAAAACAUAUGAAAGAAAGCACAGUGAGGGCAAGUCCCUGGAUUUAAGAGAAAGGACACAACUUUGCAGUUUCUGGGAACAAUCUCAUGUAUGUUGGACUAUUAAUUUCAUAAAAUCAUAAAACCAUAGAAUCACCAAGAUUGGAAAAGACCUCUGAGAUCAGUCCAACCAUCCACUCGUCACCAGUAUUUCCCACCAAACCACAUCCCUCAGUACAACACCUAAAUGUUUCUUGAACACCUCCAGGGAUGGUGACUCCACCACCUGUUAUGGUUGUCAGAAACUUGUGGAAUCCAUCAGCCUGCUGCAGAGGUCUGGGCUAUUGAGAGCAGUCUGACCUCCACAGAUGGGAUUUGUUGGUCUCUCGGCACCAUCUGAGCUGCAAGCUGAAAUCUGUAAAGGAGGUCAUGAAGAAAGGAUAUCUGGAGUCAACUUGGCUCACACAUCCUAGUCCAGAAGAGGCACUGAUUCAGCUGGAUGGGACACAGCACUCAUUGCUGGAGGCUCUGAAGUUUCCAAAGAGAUUAAGAUAACUUUGAUGACAUUUCUGGAGGAUGAAGAGCAGCAAUGAUAACUGAGACUAUACGUGUGAGUGCCAUUCAAAAGGGCUUAGGAAAUAUCAGUCACACCCUGAGGGUACAUCUAAUCUGGACUGCACUCCCUGCUCCUAGUCAAUACACAUUUCAUCAUGUCAUCCAAGCUGAUUGCCAAGAAUCCUUCCUACUGAAUCAUAUAUUUCUGAGCUGCCAUCACUCCAAACUGCAUGGCUGCCAUAUUCACAUCUACUGGUGUCAGCACUGCAAAAGGAGAUGAGAAAGAUCCUUAUCCCCAUUUGACAAGCCUCUCCUGGACCAGAACAGAAGCACAUGGAUCCUAUCCCUCCUUCUUCCCUCCUUUAGCAAAGUCGGACAUAACUGGAGCAGAAGCUUCAACAGACAUAGCAGCAGACUCCUGUUCAAGUGCUCUGAAGAAUGGGUAAGGAAAGUGAGAGUUCAUGUGGUACAAUAAAACAUAUCUGAGUGGCCACAGAGUGCAUGUUGUGAUUUGAGAGGUUUGUGGUUUUAAAUAAAGUAUAAAUGAGCAAUAAGAUUAGAAACUUCAUUUGUUAAAGUUUGCGUUUCCC